UUCCAGUUUGUCUUGUCGUAUCAGUGUCUCCAGUUUGUCUUGUCGUAUCAGAGUGUUCCAGUUUGGUUGUCGUAUCAGAGUGUUUCCAGUUGUCUUGUCGUACCAGAGUGUUCCAGUUUGUCUUGUCGUAUCAGAGUGUUUUCCAUUUGUCUUGUAGUAUCAGAGUGUUUCCAGUUUGUCUUGUCGUAUCAGUGUCUCCAGUUUGUCUUGUCGUAUCAGAGUGUUUCCAGUUUGUCGGUCGUACCAGAGUGUUCCAGUUUGUCUUGUCGUAUCAGAGUGUUUCCAGUUUGUCUUGUCGUAUCAGUGUCUCCAGUUUGUCGUGUCGUACCAGAGUGUCUCCAGUUUGUCGUGUCGUACCAGAGUGUUUUCCAGUUUGUCUUGUCGUACCAGAGUGUUUCCAGUUUGUCUUGUCGUACCAGAGUGUUUCCAGUUGUCUUAUCGUAUCAGUUCCAGUUUGUCUUAUCGUACAGAGUGUUUCCAGUUGUCUUGUCGUAUCAGAGUGUUUCCAGUUUGUCUUGUCUUGUCGUACCAGAGUGUUUCCAGUUUGUCUUAUCGUAUCGGUGUUUCCAGUUUGUCUUGUCGUACCAGAGUGUUUCCAGUUUUGUCUUGUGUACCAGAGUGUUCCAGUUUGUCUUGUCGUAUCAGAGUGUUUCCAGUUUGUCUUGUCGUAUCAGAGUGUUUCCAGUUUGUCUUGUCGUAUCAGAGUGUUUCCAGUUUUUCUUGUCUUAUCAGAGUGUUUCCAGUUUGUCUUGUCUUUUCGUACCAGAGUGUUUCCAGUUUGUCUUAUCAUACCAGAGUGUUUCCAGUUUGUCUUGUCUUAUCGUACCAGAGUGUUUCCAGUUUUGUCUUGUCGGACCAGAGUGUUUCCCAUUUGUCUUGUCGUACCAGAGUGUUUCCAGUUUGUCUUGUCGUACCAGAGUGUUUCCAGUUUGUCUUGUCGUAACAGAGUGUUUCCAGUUUGCCUUGUCGUACCAGUGUUUCCAGUUUGUCUUGUCGUAUCAGAGUGUUUCCAGUUUGUCUUGUCAUAACAGAAUGUUUCCAGUUUGCCUUGUCGUACCAGUGUUUCCAGUUUGCCUGUUCUCAAGUUUUGUUUCUAGUCUUCUUGGUUCUGACCUUUUUGCCUGUCCUGACCCUGAGCCUGCCAGCCUGUCCUGAUCCUGAGCCUGCCUGUCCUGACCCUGAGUCCGCCUGAGCCAGCUUGCCAUCCUGAGUGCCGUCUGGUACCUGCCUGACUUUGCCCUGGAUUACCAACCUCUGCCUGCCCUCAACCUGCUGUUUGCCUGCCCCUUGUGUUAUAUUAAAUGUCUGAGAUUCAAACUAUCCGCCUCCUGUGUCUGCAUCUAGGUCUCAUCCUGAUCCAUGAUAGCAGUGGUGUAAAAAGUUCUCAAUUGUCAUUCUUGAGUAAAAGUAAAGAUACCUUAAUAGAAAAUGACUCAAGGAAAAGUUAAAGUCACCCAGUACAAUACUACUUGAGUAAAAGUCUACAAGUAUUUGGUUUUAAAUAUACUUAAAUAUCAACAUUAAAUGUAAAAGCUAAAAAAUACUUAAGUAUGAAAAGGAAAAGUAUAAAUAAUUUCAAAUUUCUUAUUUUAAGGAAACCAGACGGCAUCGUUUAUUGUUUUUAAAAUGUAUGGAUAGCCAACACUCAGACAUGAUUUACAAAUUAAGCAUUUGGGUUUAGUGAGUCCUCCAGAUCAGAGGAAGAAGGGAUGACCAGGGAUGUUCUCUGUUUAGUGAGUCCACCAGAUCAGAGGAAGAAGGGAUGACCAGGGAUGUUCUCUGUUUAGUGAGUCCACCAGACCGGAGGAAGAAGGGAUGACCAGGGUGUUCUCUGUUUAGUGAGUCCACCAGAUCGGAGGAAGAAGGGAUGACCAGGGUGUUCUCUGUUUAGUGAGUCCACCAGAUCGGAGGAAGAAGGGAUGACCAGGGUGUCCUCUGUUUAGUGAGUCUACCAGAUCGGAGGAAGAAGGGAUGACCAGGGUGUUCUCUUGAUAAGUAUGUUUAUUUAACCAUUUUCCUGUCCUGCUAAGCGUUUAAAAUGUAACGAGUACUUUUGGGUGU
rnacentral:lncRNA from 1 species